AACUUAGCGGCGGNCGGGUGAGUAACACGUAGGCAACCUGCCCCUUGGANUGGGAUAACUACCGGAAACGGUAGCUAAUACCGGAUAAUUCCUCUUAGNNCCUGCUANGAGGCUGAAAGGCGGAGCAAUCUGUCACCAAGGGAUGGGCCUGCGGCGCAUUANCUAGUUGGUGGGGUAACGGCUCACCAAGGCGACNAUGCGUAGCCGACCUGAGAGGGUGAACGGCCACACUGGGACUGAGACACGGCCCANACUCCUACGGGAGGCAGCAGUAGGGAAUCUUCCGCAAUGGGCGAAAGCCUGACGGAGCAACGCCGCGUGAGUGAUGAAGGUUUUCGGAUCGUAAAGCUCUGUUGNCAGGGAAGAACGUNCUUAAGAGUAACUGCUUAAGNAGUGACGGUACCUGAGAAGAAAGCCCCGGCUAACUACGUGCCAGCAGCCGCGGUAAUACGUAGGGGGCANNNNUUGUCCGGAAUUAUUGGGCGUAAAGCGCGCGCAGGCGGCUGUUUAAGUCUGGUGUUUAAACCAUGGGCUCAACCUGUGGUCGCACUGGAAACUGGNCAGCUUGAGUGCANAANAGGAAAGUGGAAUUCCAC
rnacentral:rRNA from 1 species